rnacentral:rRNA from 1 species
AUGUAAGAAGCCUUGGUUACUUAAUCGAACCGUGGCUACGAAUGAAGAGCUUCUAGUGGGCCAUUUUUGGUAAGCAGAACUGGCGAUGCGGGAUGAACCGAACGUGGAGUUAAGGUGCCGGAAUACACGCUCAUCAGACACCACAAAAGGUGUUAGUUUAUCUAGACAGCCGGACGGUGGCCAUGGAAGUCGGAAUCCGCUAAGGAGUGUGUCACAACUCACCGGCCGAAUGAACUAGCCCUGAAAAUGGAUGGCGCUUAAGCGUGUUACCUAUACUCUACCGAGAGGAGGUUUCCUCUCGAGUAGGCAGGCGUGGGGGUUGUUGAGAAGCGUUGGCCGUGAGGCUGCGUCGAACGGCCCCUAGUGCAGAUCUUGGUGGUAGUAGCAAAUAUUCAAAUGAGAACUUUGAAGACUGAAGUGGGGAAAGGUUCCGUGUGAACAGCAGUUGGACACGGGUAAGUCGAUCCUAAGGGGUGGCAUAACUGUCGCGUACGGCCCGAUAAGGGCCUUCUCCAAAAGGGAAGCCGGUUGAAAUUCCGGCACUUGGAUGUGGAUUCUCCACGGCAACGUAACUGAAUGUGGGGACGGUGGCACAAGUCUUGGAAGGAGUUAUCUUUUCUUUUUAACGGAGUCAACACCCUGGAAUUAGUUUGUCUAGAGAUAGGGUAUCGUUCCGGAAGAGGGGGGCAGCUUUGUCCCCUCCGAUGCACUUGUGACGCCCCUUGAAAACCCGCAGGAAGGAAUAGUUUUCACGCCAAGUCGUACUGAUAACCGCAGCAGGUCUCCAAGGUGAACAGCCUCUAGUUGAUAGAAUAAUGUA